GUAGGUGAACCUGCGGAAGGAUCAUUACCGUACCGGCACGUGCGGCGGCCUCCAGCCCCUAGGGACUGGGUGGUUAGGGCUCCUUCGGGGGCACCGUUGACGCGCACGCGGCUACAUCCUUAUAUUACGAGCACCUGACGUUCUCCUUCGGCGGGGUCUACCCCGCCGUCGGAACCUAUACAACCUUUUUGCAUCUAGCAUUACCUGUUCCGAUGACAAACAAUCGUUACAACUUUCAACAAUGGAUCUC
rnacentral:misc_RNA from 1 species